rnacentral:lncRNA from 1 species
UUUAGGGAGAGAAUUAUUGUUGGAUAGCCACCCUUAGUUCCACACGUUUCAGAUAUUUAAAUCGCCAACUGUAUGGUGUCACUAGACGCAAAAUUCCUUGAACGAUUACACUCACAAGCAAUCUCGCUCAGACAACAAUAAAUAAGGUGAAUACUGAGCUUUUACCAUGGAAAUUUAUGGUAUUUUCUCUCAAAUUUUUCUCCUUCAGGAGCC